rnacentral:rRNA from 1 species
GAUGAACGCUGGCGGCGUGCCUAAUACAUGCAAGUCGAGCGAACGGACGAGAAGCUUGCUUCUCUGAUGUUAGCGGCGGACGGGUGAGUAACACGUGGAUAACCUACCUAUAAGACUGGGAUAACUUCGGGAAACCGGAGCUAAUACCGGAUAAUAUUUUGAACCGCAUGGUUCAAAAGUGAAAGACGGUCUUGCUGUCACUUAUAGAUGGAUCCGCGCUGCAUUAGCUAGUUGGUAAGGUAACGGCUUACCAAGGCAACGAUGCAUAGCCGACCUGAGAGGGGGAUGGGACACACGGGAACUGAGACAGGGUCAAAAGUCCGAGGGGAGGAGGAAGAAGGAAAUUUUCAGCAAGGGGAGAAAGACGAAGGGAGAAACGCGGGGGGAGUAAUGAAGGUCUACGGAACGAAAAACUGUGUUAUGGGGAAAAAAAAUAUGUGAAAGUACCGGGACAAAUCUUGACGGUACAUAAUAAAAAAACCACGGAAAACUACGGC